rnacentral:tRNA from 1 species
GAGGGUAUAGCUCAAGUGGUAAAGCACAUGCUUAGCAUGCAUGAGGUCCUGGGUUCAAUCUCCAGUACCUCCU